rnacentral:lncRNA from 1 species
AACAGGGUCACGGGUAAGUAGAGUCCCGUGUUUCGUUUAAAACCAGGCGAAAAAUGGAACCUGCUUCCGAAUGAUCGGAUGGGCUUUUUGAGAGGUUGGAGCUUUUGAGUUUAUGUUUCUGAAUAUUACCGAAGCCCACCAGACUGCUUGGCUGUGAUGAGUGUCCAGUCCACUCCAGUGUCCACUGAGCUAGAAGAGGAGCAGGCAAAGAUGAGGAAACUGGUCCCUUUCUUUGAGCCACCUCACUACCAAGUAAAAGAAGUCAUGAUCACAGCCCCACAUGCAGCCUAUCACAGCCUGAGCCACUGCCUGCGUGCAGAUAUCUUUCCUGGUAUGAGUUUAUUGGACACUUGUAUUCCAGGUGCUCCAUUGAUGGGAACAUCACUGGUGAAAGAGUCCUAUGUGGCUCACCCAGUGGGACAACAGGACCCAGAACACUGGUAUGGGCGCAAGGCGGAUGACAUGGUCCGAUGGUCAGAGAGAAACUUUCUGAACCGGAAUCUGACGAAGGCCCUGAAGGAAAGGAAGCUAAUGAAGGGCACGGCUGGAUGAAUUGUGAAAGCACUGCAACCUGACACAUGGUUCCCUUGCACAGCGCAGCCUCACCCUGUCUGAUGCCCUGUCUGAGUACGGGCACUUCAUUGUAGUAAAGACGCCACUCACUCACCCACACACACACACACACACAC